rnacentral:rRNA from 1 species
UACUAACUCUGGCGGCGUGCUUAACACAUGCAAGUCGAACGGAAAGGCCCUGCUUUUGUGGGGUGCUCGAGUGGCGAACGGGUGAGUAACACGUGGGUAACCUGCCCUUGACUUUGGGAUAACUUCAGGAAACUGGGGCUAAUACCGGAUAGGAGCUCCUGCUGCAUGGUGGGGGUUGGAAAGUUUCGGCGGUUGGGGAUGGACUCGCGGCUUAUCAGCUUGUUGGUGGGGUAGUGGCUUACCAAGGCUUUGACGGGUAGCCGGCCUGAGAGGGUGACCGGCCACAUUGGGACUGAGAUACGGCCCAGACUCCUACGGGAGGCAGCAGUGGGGAAUAUUGCACAAUGGGCGGAAGCCUGAUGCAGCAACGCCGCGUGCGGGAUGACGGCCUUCGGGUUGUAAACCGCUUUCGCCUGUGACGAAGCGUGAGUGACGGUAAUGGGUAAAGAAGCACCGGCUAACUACGUG